rnacentral:rRNA from 1 species
CGGUAAUUCCAGCUCCAAUAGCGUAUACUAAAGUUGUUGCAGUUAAAAAGCUCGUAGUUGGAUUUCUGCGGGGACGGAGCGGCCGGACGCAACUUGCGUCUCGAGCUAGCGCUUUCCCCGCAUCCUGCCGCGAACCGUGCUACCAUUAGUUUGGUGGCGCUGGGGAUCGGCUCGAUUACUUUGAGAAAAAUAGAGUGUUCAAAGCAGGCCACACGCCUUGAAUAAGUUAGCAUGGAAUAAUGACUAAGGACUUUGGUUCUUUUCGUUGGUGUUCGGGACUGAAGUAAUGAUUGAUAGGGACAGUUGGGGCGGUCCGUAUUCCAAAGCGAGAGGUGAAAUUCUUAGACCUUCGGAAGACGAACAGCUGCGAAAGCGUUCCGCAAGGAUGUUCCCUCUGAUCAAGAACGAAAGUUGGGGGAUCGAAGACGAUCAGAUACCGUCGUAGUCUCAACUAUAAACUAUACCAGCUAGGGAUCGGCCAACGUUUAAUUAUUCGACUUGGUCGGCACCUUAUGAGAAAUCAAAGCACCUGGGUUCCGGGGGGAGUAUGGUCGCAAGGCUGAAACUUAAAGGAAUUGACGGAAGGGCACCACCAGCCGUGGAGCCUGUGGCUUAAUUUGACUCAACACGGGAAAACUUACCAGGUCCAGACAUAGGAAGGAUUGACAGAUUGAUAGCUCUUUCUUGAUUCUGUGGGUGGUGGUGCAUGGCCGUUUUUAGUCGGUGAAGUGAUUUGUCUGCUUAAUUGCGUUAACGGACGAGACCCCAGCCUGCUAAAUAGCGCGGCCGAGCUUUGCUCGGUGCGAGCUUCUUAGAGGGACCAUGAUGCGCGAUAGCACAAGGAAGUUUGGGGCAACAACAGGUCUGUGAUGCCCUUAGAUGUUCUGGGCCGCACACGGGCUACACUGGCGCCUGCAACGAGCAUAUCAGCUGGCCCGAGAGGGUCUUGGCUAAUCUUUGGAACCGGCGCCGUGCUUGGGAUUGACCAUUGCAAUUGUUGGUCAUGCAACGAGGAAUGCCUUGUAAACGCGAGUCAUCAGCUCGCAUUGAAUACGUCCCUGCCCUUUGUACACACCGCCC